rnacentral:rRNA from 1 species
AGAACGAACGCUGGCGGCAUGCCUAAUACAUGCAAGUCGAACGAACACUUCGGUGUUAGUGGCGCACGGGUGCGUAACGCGUGGGAAUCUGCCCUUGGGUUCGGAAUAACAGUUGGAAACGACUGCUAAUACCGGAUGAUAUACGAAAGAUCAAAGAUUUAUCGCCCAGGGAUGAGCCCGCGUAGGAUUAGCUAGUUGAUGGAAGGUAAGCUACAACGAGGCGAACGACUACGUA